rnacentral:rRNA from 1 species
AACGAACGCUGGCGGCAGGCCUAACACAUGCAAGUCGAGCGAGGACUUCGGUCCUAGCGGCGGACGGGUGAGUAACGCGUGGGAACGUGCCCUUUGCUACGGAAUAGCCCCGGGAAACUGGGAGUAAUACCGUAUGUGCCCGAGAGGGGAAAGAUUUAUCGGCAAAGGAUCGGCCCGCGUUGGAUUAGGUAGUUGGUGGGGUAAUAGCCUACCAAGCCGACGAUCCAUAGCUGGUUUGAGAGGAUGAUCAGCCACACUGGGACUGAGACGCGGCCCAGACUCCUACGGGAGGCAGCAGUGGGGAAUCUUAGACAAUGGGCGCAAGCCUGAUCUAGCCAUGCCGCGCGAGCGAUGAAGGCCUUAGGGUUGUAAAGCUCUUUCAGUGGGGAAGAUAAUGACGGUACCCACAGAAGAAGCCCCGGCUAACUCCGUGCCAGCCGCCGCAGUAACAC